rnacentral:rRNA from 1 species
CCUACGGGUGGCUGCAGUGAGGAAUAUUGGUCAAUGGGCGCGAGCCUGAACCAGCCAAGUAGCGUGUAGGAUGACUGCCCUACGGGUUGUAAACUUCUUUUAUAAAGGAAUAAAGUGAGGCACGUGUGCCUUUUUGUAUGUACUUUAUGAAUAAGGAUCGGCUACCUCCGUGCCAGCAGCCGCGGUAAUACGGAGGAUCCGAGCGUUAUCCGGAUUUAUUGGGUGUAAAGGGAGCGUAGAUGGGUUGUUAAGUCAGUUGUGAAAGUUUGCGGCUCAACCGUAGAAUUGCAAUGGAUACUGGCAGUCUUGAGUACAGGUGAGGUAGGCGGAAUGCGUGGUGUAGCGGUGAAAUGCUUAGAUAUCACGAAGAACUCCGAUUGCGAAGGCAGCUCACUGGACUGCAACUGACGCUGAGGCUCGAAAGUGUGGGUAUCAAACAGGAUUAGAUACCCUUGUAGUC